AUUUAAGAGAAACUGACUAAAAUGCAAUCUUAAUUCCAGAAAGUUCAUGAACAAUAAUAGGAUGAAGAAGACAAAAUUAUUAACAACGAACGUAAGAAAGAUGUAUGCGCAGUGUUCCCCGGAAACAGGUCAGCCUGCGGCGUCACGGAGCAUGCGCCUGACUCUCGGUUUAUCUUACUUGGAACAAGGUCCACAGACAAGGACAGCUGUGUCCUCCUUCUCCCGGUCCCAUGAGAGGGCGUCUCCUAUUUUUAGUUCCAGAGCCUACUUCUUAAGCCAUCCAUAAAAGGAGCUAGGGAAGUAUGUCUGUGAUUGAUAAGGGACUGAAGUCCGUGUUUACAGAGGGUUUUUCCCACCUAAGGAAGAGUUAUGAGGGCUCUGCUGCUCUCUUCCUGUAGCUGGGGAAGGACUGAGAGCAGAGGGCCUGUGUGGACCUAAGGAUCAGCACUUGAGCUGGCAUGGAAACAGGUGGCUCCUGGACGUGUCAACUCACGAAAGCAUCACAUUUCUGUGGAGCAGCGCUGCUGCCAGCUGCGUCUCAUCAGUCUCUGACCUCCCACACCCUCCUAGCUCAGGGUGAGCACCGAAGGGCUGAAGGAAGCCUCAUCCGAUGGACAGGAGCCUGGUCUGGAGUUCAUCAGGAAGGAAGGAAGUCUGGUCCUCCCUACCUCUCCCCAUGGUCAGCAGCCUCUGAGCAGGAGUGGGCGGGACCUGGCCAGCAGCCCCAUCACUUUAAUCCGUGAAACCUGACCUUCCCUGUGCUCCUGGGCUCCCAGGCGGCUGUGCGGCCACCCGACCUCCCCAGCUCCUCCUGAGUGGGUGCGUGGCCAGCCCUUGCCAGCGAGGACACGGCUUUCUAAUGGCUGGAAAGUGCAGCCAUGACAAGGGAGCGGCCAGCCAGAAGGGAGCGAUGACCACCCGGCUGGCCCUGGAAUUGCUGGAGCCACCAGAAAGGCCACCCACAAAGCAAGCUCCAAGGAAACACCACCGGAGGGGGGUCUCAACCAGAAACGGGAUUGCGAAAGGGUCUGGAGGGAAGAGAUAACAGGGUUGAGAAGGAGCUGCUGGUCCUGGCAUGAGCCCGUGUGGCGGCCACAGGAGGCCACAUGCCUGGGUUAGCCUCAGCAUGCCACCACCACGACCUCUUUACUCCAUCUGCAAUCAAACAGGUCCCACCUAAGACAGCUGCUCUACAAAUCUGGAGGCCGGGGCAGGGAGAAGGCAGAUAAACCAAUAAAAAACACAUUUUUUUCCUCAUA